GAGGAGAGUCACGAGUCUCCUCAGAGUCGUCUGACAUGUUCAACAUCUCUCCAGAGACAGUGUUCAAAGCAUGUUCCUCUCAGACUGAGUGGAGGUUUGGGCCGGUGCUCUGGGAGGCUGGAGGUGUAUCAUAACGCUGUGUGGGGUUCAGUCUGUGCUGAUCUGUGGGACAUCAGCGAUGCUCAGGUGGUCUGCAGGCAGCUGGGUUGUGGAGACGCACUGAGGGCUGAUGGGAAUUCAGUCUUUGGUGCUGGUGAAGGUGUUGUGUGGCUGAACAGAGUCGAGUGCAGAGGGAAUGAGAUUCACCUGUGGGACUGUCCUCUCUCCCUGAAGAAACACACUGACUGUUCCCACAAAGAGCACGCUGGACUCACAUGUGCAGAUUUGUCAGUGUCCACUACUCCUGCCACAACAACAUCAGCUUCUCCUCCAGUUUCUCAGACAGUGCGCUCAACAUCAGUCACUCCUCCACAAACUCCUCCAG